rnacentral:rRNA from 1 species
GUCUACAGCCAUGCUACCCUGAACAAGCGCGAUCCUGUCUGAUCUCGGAAGCUAAGGAGGGUUGGGCCUGGUUAGUACUUGGAUGGGAGACCACCUAGGAAGACUAGGUGUUGUAGGUA